GACGAACGCUGGCGGCGUGCCUAAUACAUGCAAGUAGAACGCUGAAGAGAGGAGCUUGCUCUUCUUGGAUGAGUUGCGAACGGGUGAGUAACGCGUAGGUAACCUGCCUUGUAGCGGGGGAUAACUAUUGGAAACGAUAGCUAAUACCGCAUAACAAUGGAUGACACAUGUCAUUUAUUUGAAAGGGGCAAUUGCUCCACUACAAGAUGGACCUGCGUUGUAUUAGCUAGUAGGUGAGGUAACGGCUCACCUAGGCGACGAUACAUAGCCGACCUGAGAGGGUGAUCGGCCACACUGGGACUGAGACACGGCCCAGACUCCUACGGGAGGCAGCAGUAGGGAAUCUUCGGCAAUGGGGGCAACCCUGACCGAGCAACGCCGCGUGAGUGAAGAAGGUUUUCGGAUCGUAAAGCUCUGUUGUAAGUCAAGAACGAGUGUGAGAGUGGAAAGUUCACACUGUGACGGUAGCUUACCAGAAAGGGACGGCUAACUACGUGCCAGCAGCCGCGGUAAUACGUAGGUCCCGAGCGUUGUCCGGAUUUAUUGGGCGUAAAGCGAGCGCAGGCGGUUUGAUAAGUCUGAAGUUAAAGGCUGUGGCUCAACCAUAGUUCGCUUUGGAAACUGUCAAACUUGAGUGCAGAAGGGGAGAGUGGAAUUCCAUGUGUAGCGGUGAAAUGCGUAGAUAUAUGGAGGAACACCGGUGGCGAAAGCGGCUCUCUGGUCUGUAACUGACGCUGAGGCUCGAAAGCGUGGGGAGCGAACAGGAUUAGAUACCCUGGUAGUCCACGCCGUAAACGAUGAGUGCUAGGUGUUGGAUCCUUUCCGGGAUUCAGCGCCGCAGCUAACGCAUUAAGCACUCCGCCUGGGGAGUACGACCGCAAGGUUGAAACUCAAAGGAAUUGACGGGGGCCCGCACAAGCGGUGGAGCAUGUGGUUUAAUUCGAAGCAACGCGAAGAACCUUACCAGGUCUUGACAUCCCGAUGCUAUUUCUAGAGAUAGAAAGUUACUUCGGUACAUCGGUGACAGGUGGUGCAUGGUCGUCGUCAGCUCGUGUCGUGAGAUGUUGGGUUAAGUCCCGCAACGAGCGCAACCCCUAUUGUUAGUUGCCAUCAUUCAGUUGGGCACUCUAGCGAGACUGCCGGUAAUAAACCGGAGGAAGGUGGGGAUGACGUCAAAUCAUCAUGCCCCUUAUGACCUGGGCUACACACGUGCUACAAUGGUUGGUACAACGAGUUGCGAGUCGGUGACGGCAAGCUAAUCUCUUAAAGCCAAUCUCAGUUCGGAUUGUAGGCUGCAACUCGCCUACAUGAAGUCGGAAUCGCUAGUAAUCGCGGAUCAGCACGCCGCGGUGAAUACGUUCCCGGGCCU
rnacentral:rRNA from 1 species